AUAAAGGAAGUCCGGACGCCCUGGGAACCUCGCUGUGGUGAAUUCCCAUAUCCUUCGUUGUGUUUCUCAGACGCAGCGUGUACUUUUAUUUUUGCUUUUAUCUUCUUUUUCUCCUGUUCUGCCCACGUUCUCUCUGCAGAGCAAGAAGGACCUGGACUACUUUGGAUUGGCGAACCAUUGCUAAAGGAACUACCAGACAACAGAGGCACUGAACAGAUACUAUUUGCCAGAAAGAUUUCACCUCUUUGAGUACUGAAGACUUUCGUUUCAUAAGAUUAAAUUUAAUGCCAGAUCUGCUAGCCUCUGGAAUAGCAUAUCAGAGGGGCCAGGAGAAGACCUAUGGCUCAAUAUCACUGCAAACUGGAGCGACGAAUCUGAGAGCGAAGCAAAGAUAUUAUAGCUUGAGCUUCGAAAAGAAGACGAGAUGUAAAUUCUUUACUGGAACUGGAGGAAAAAGAGAUGCACAUCAGGAAACAGCUGAUAAUGUGAAUCUGGAGUAUGAUCCAACAAGAGCAAGGGUUUGCCUUUAACCAAGUCAGAAAGGACCCAGUCUUUGUGGUAGGAAACUCAGAGGCAGGGAAGACUCCAGGAGGUCCUUCCAGCAGAGGUCAGCAGGCCCAGCAUCCAGGAGGCCAGGGGAUCAGGAGACACCCAAGGCCUGACGGACGCAGGACAGGGAGAAGUGUCAGCAGAGCCUGGCAGUGAUGGCAGCCGCAGGAGAGGGCCUGCUCUGGCUACAAAUAGAUGGACUCAGCGAUGACUGAAGCUGUGGCUGGAAAAGGGAAUGUGAGCAUGAGUCACAGUCUCUUCUUUCCCUGGAAUUUACAGCCCAGGCCUUCUGUUGGUUAAGUCUAUUGGAAAGCAGAAAGAAACAGAGAAUUUUGGUGUUGCCUGUAUCUUAUAUCUCUAUUAUUUACAAAUUAUAAUCUUUAUAUGGGCCGUUUUAGAGUAACAAGGACUAGAUAGACAUUCUACCUUUGACACCUGUAAGACCAGAGAAACAAAGCACACGAAGCAAGUUUUUUUUUUUUUUUUGGUAUCAGGGAUCGAACUUGGGACCUUGCACUUGCGAGGCAGGUGGUGGAACCACUGAGCUACAUCCCUGGCCCUGAAGCAAGUUUCUAUUUUUAUAUAUUUAUUUUUUUGCGGUUCCGGGGAUUGAACUGAGAACCUUGUGCUUGCGAGGCAGGCACGUUGCCACUGAGCUAAAUCCCCGGCCCCUGAAGCAAGUUUUUAAACAUGGUUGUGCUGGUCAGCUUUUCCUUGCUGUGACAAAAUAGUUGGUGAUGAGCAACUUAAAGGAAGGAAUUCUUAAGAAUUCCAAAUAUUUAUAACAAGGGGUCCCUUAAGCACAAAUAUGAGAAAACUGUUCCAGGAUGAGAAAAGAGCCACUGUAAAAUGUAGGUAGAAUAAUUAAUCGUUGGAGUUUAGACAGGCUCGGAAUAAUUUAUGUUUCCAUUAGCCACAGUGAAAAGUCUUCCCUGAUGCCACGGGCCCAGCCUGAAGAUGGUCCUUUGCCUCCUGCCUACUCCCUUUCUCCUCCAUAGACCAGCAGACAGUCAGACAGAUCUGUUUGAGUAAGAUUGUAGACCUGGAUGGCACAGCCCCAGUGACAGUUACAUUGUAUCCUUCUUCCUUGUUCCCCUUCUGUGCAUGUCUGGAUCAGUUCAGCCUAGGCCACAUAGGCCACGUAGCAUUAGUUACCCCGUCUUCUCUUCCUGUUUGUCUUACACUAUGAAGAGCGCUAGACUCCAGGCGGCCAUUAGCUCAACAGGUUAUGGUUCCACCUGGUCCCAGCUUUCAAGCCUAAUUUUGGUACGUAUCCUUCUUUCUUGUUGAAUCAAAUUGAUUCAUGAUAACUAAAUUGUCCCAGAAAAAGCAUCACAAUUUAAAAAUAACAUAACAAAAUCCAGCAACCAAAAAUAUCUUAGAAGAUAUAUAUUAGAUAUAUAUUAGAAUAAGCCUAGAAGGCUUAUUAUACAAACAGAAGGUUAUCAAACGUUAAAAGAAAUGGGAAAAUGAGAACCAUGAGGAGAGAAAUCAAUUGCUAAAAAAAGAUAGAACAAAACAAAAAUCCCAAACUGAGAAAUAACCCGGAUGUUAGACUUAGCAAAUAAAAAUGGUAAAACUGUUAUUACAAAUAUAUUCUCUGUUUAAAAAGAUAAAGGAUAAUAUGAAUACAAUGAAGAGAUGGAAAAUACAAAAAGCCUAGAGUGGAAUGAUACAAAAUUCAGAACACUGUGAAAUAGUCAAGAGACCAUUUAAAAGUGAAGGUAAUAAAGCCAAGUUUAGACAUUCAAAAACUAAACAAAUUCACUAACAGCAGAUCUACACUACAGGAAUUAUUAAAGGAUAUCUUUCAGGCAGAAAAAAGGGAUAUCAGAGGAAUCUGGACCUAUACAAAGGAAUGAAGAUCUCUGGAAAAUGAUAUUUUUAUGAGGAAGAUGACUUAUUUUACUUAAAUCUCUUGAAAGAGUAAUGGGCUUUUAUAUGUUUUGAGGGAUAAAUAGGCAAAUAUUCAUCUUGGAGUUUAUCAGAACUCAGAAAAACUGCAAAUACAACAAUGUAGAAAGGAUAUAUUACAUAAAGAAAGUUCACAAUGAAAUUAAAAUUCAGUAAUAUUUUAGACAUUAUAUAAUUUGCAUCCUCAAAUGAAAAAAUAUUUCCUGAAAUCAAUAUUGCACGUCUAAUUAGGAAAAAUUUUGAAUACAUGUAUCAGGAGAAAAAAUAAAAAAUUACCUACUAUAUUAUGCAUGUAUCUUUCUGCUCCUUCUCCCCUCCUUUCUCUCUCAAGUAUAAACAGUUUCGCGGCCCCUAUAAGGAAUGUGCAUUUUUGCUUAUAUUCUCUUAUUCUUAGAUUUUGAGCAUUUUCUGAGCCUAAAUGUCUUUGAAAUGUAUACUUUAAAAUCUGUCAAAUGUUCUGUUGUAAGUAUGCACAAUAAUUAAACAAUUCAUCUACAAUAUAUCA